AGUGAAGUAACUGACUGGACAUCCCAAAGUUAGGUGGUCCUGAGAGCCAGGUGCUGACAGCUGCCUCACCUUAAGAGUCUCCUUUCGUUAUGGCAUCUGGAAAGAUCUCACAUGGCAGGCCUGCUUCUAGUUCCUUCUUCCUAGUGUGUCUGAGGAAAUCCAAUCUCUCCCACUCCAGCCCGCCUACUCAUUGAACAUGGCUGCUAUCUCUGUCUUCUGGAAACACGGCUCCAAUCCUGCAACAACUCUAUACAAGAGCUCCCAGUGAAAGCUUUCACUAGACCUUGAUGGCACUAUGGUCAUUAUCUUGUCAAAACUGUGGUGGAUUUGAAGAGCUAGUGAUGAAGAAUGGAGGUUUCCUGUCCUAGAAAUAACCAAAGGCCCAGGCUUGGAGGUGGCAGAAAAAGUGGCACUUAAGUUACUAGCCCAGUAUUUGGAAUUUGCCAAAGCUAUAUUCCUCAGAAUUUACUUCAAGAGCUCCUUUGUAUCGGCGGAGAAUGAAGAACGGAGAAGAGGAGGAGGAGGUUGAAAGAAACUUAAGAGAUGUGGCAACUAAUUGCAACGUGUAGAUUGUAUUUAGCUCAUGAUUCACACAAACUAGAUAUUUGUUAUUAAAGAAUUAUGGUUGUUUUUGGUGUGA
rnacentral:lncRNA from 1 species